CCUUUGGAGAUGAGGGUGGUCACAAAUCGCCGACAAGCCCCCAAAUUAAAGACCCCCAGAGAGGGGAGACCUCACUCAAGUCUUGGGAUGAUGUGAUCCCCCCCACACAAGAACUC
rnacentral:pre_miRNA from 14 species